rnacentral:rRNA from 1 species
GGGAGGUAGUGACAAGAAAUAACAAUACGGGGCUUAAAGUCUUGUAAUUGGAAUGAUGGGAAUUUAAACCUCUUCCAGAGUAUCAAUUGGAGGGCAAGUCUGGUGCCAGCAGCCGCGGUAAUUCCAGCUCCAAUAGCGUAUAUUAAAAUUGUUGCAGUUAAAAAGCUCGUAGUUGAAUUUCUGCUGCAUUGCUUGUGUCCCUCUGGGGUCUGUGCAUGUGGCUUUUUUCGGUCGGAGUUUCUUUGUCCGAAUGUUUACUUUGAGAAAAUUAGAGUGCUCAAAGCAGGCUUUCGCCUUGAAUAGUUUAGCAUGGAAUAAUAAAGUAGGACUUUGGUUCUAUUUUGUUGGUUUUAGGUACCAAAGUAAUGGUUAAUAGGAACAGUUGGGGGCUUUCGUAUUUAACUGUCAGAG